GAUGAACGCUGGCGGCGUGCCUAAUACAUGCAAGUCGAGCGAACAGACGAGAGUGCUUGCACUCUCUGACGUUAGCGGCGUACGGGUGAGUAACACGUGGGUAACCUACCUAUAAGACUGGGAUAACUUCGGGAAACCGGAGCUAAUACCGGAUAAUAUUUAGCUUCGCAUGAAGCAAUAGUGAAAGACGGUUCUGCUGUCACUUAUAGAUGGACCCGCGGUGUAUUAGCUAGUUGGUGAGGUAACGGCUCACCAAGGCAACGAUACAUAGCCGACCUGAGAGGGUGAUCGGCCACACUGGGACUGAGACACGGCCCAGACUCCGACGGGAGGCAGCAGUAGGGAAUCUUACGCAAUGGACGAAAGUCUGACGGAGCAAUGCCGCGUGAGUGAAGAAGGUUUUCGGAUCGUAAAACUAUGUUGUAAGGGAAGAACAAGUACGUUAGUAACUGAACGUACCUUGACGGUACCUUACCAGAAAGCCACGGCUAACUACGUG
rnacentral:rRNA from 1 species